GGGGCCAUAGCUCAGCUGGUAGAGCGCCUGCUUUGCAAGCAGGAGGUCGUCGGUUCGAAACCGUCUGGCUCCA
rnacentral:tRNA from 1 species